rnacentral:lncRNA from 1 species
UUAACUUAAAAUAAUCGCAUAUAUUGACAUUUUUUUCAAUUUUUAAUACUGACUUGAGCAUGGAAUAGCGGGACCACAAAGUAUUUGGUUUGCAGAUUUUGGAUAGACUAAUAAAAUAAGCCAAAAACACUUCAUUCUUUUAAGCUAUUUACACUUUUUUCUUUACACCAACUCAUAAAAAUAUUGUAUUCUUUCUUGUACCUGUUUGCUGAUUUUUCCGGUAACAAAUUAAGAUAAUUGACAACGUCGAGGAUAGAUGGAGGUAGUUCUUCGUCACUUGAUGCCAUCUAAAUCACUGAAUUAUUUUUUAAUUCGUAAGUAAAGAUAAAUUUUAAAGUGUGUGACGUGCUUCUUGACAAUAAUUGCUUUGUUUGACAUCGUUGCUAUGCCUUUAAAAUAUUAAAAUCUGUACAUAACAGGUAUUUAGGCACCGCAUUGAAUUUAAUUCGGUGAUAUUAGAUCGUCGUCAUGCUAACCAAUUAUAUAGAAAGUUUGGUUUUGACAACCUUCUCAAAGAUUUAAUUUGUGUAUGUAUUUUUAUAUUAAUUCAAUUAAUUUGGUCAUUUUUUUAAAUGCUCGUAGAAAAAAUAUUGAUCCUAACUCUUGCAGAAAGUCUCUUUUCCGCACUCGACUGCUUGCCGAACUCCGCUUCGCUUCGUUCGGCAAACUGCAAUCGCGUGCCGAAAAGUAUGACUUUGUGCACUUGUUAGGAAAAUAACUAUUUCAUCGUAGAAAAUAUUGAUUUAAAACGAACUAGGUACAUCAAGUUUUAAAAAGCAGAACAUUCAACAUCAAUUUGUUAAAAGGGUAAUGCCCUCACUUCCAUUAUUUUUUUCUAUUUUUACGUUCUAUAUGAUAUUGCAAUUUUAAGUCGCCACCCCCUUCUUCUGGCACAAAAAAAAUCAUUUUUUGAUUUUUAGUUUUUUUGGGUUUAAGUGGGAUUAAAUCAAUUUAAUUUUUUUUAAAUUCACAGGUAUAGUUGAGGGUUUUACAAAACAUAUCUAUUUUAUAGACCCGUAGUAGUACAUAACCUCAUAAUGCAUUUUUUUUUUUUUGAAAAAAGCGUGUAACUUUUUUUGGGACAUAGCUACAGGUAUAUUUUAUCAAAGACUAUAUUUCUGUCUUUUUUCAGUUUUUUUCCGUAAGGCGAGCCUAUUCAAAAAGUCGAAAACCUGGCUUUUUAGAGGUUUUGUCUGAUUUUUCCAUUUUAUAGACUUCAAAAUAGAUCAAAUUAAGAUUUUUUUAUAGGUUAUAUAUAAUUUGAAGUAACUAAGUAAUUUAGUACAUUCAAAAAUUGGGCGAAACACGUUCAAACCCCCAAAAAAAUGUUUUAGAAGUUUUUAGGGUUUUUUCAAGGUUAAUCAUAAUUUUUAAGAUCGUUACAAUCUGAAUCAAAUUUUUUAUCUGUCUUUUCGCGUGUCGUAUGUAAUUAAAAAAGAAGACAGCGCAAUUUCAAUCACGCUACCCCGCACCCACCCAAAAAACGUCAUUUUUCCUUUUUUUUUUCUAUGUGGGAUACAAUUAAUUUAAACAUUUCAAAAAGUCACAGACAUAGUAUCUUCCCUGUAUAUAUAUAAACUGUUAACUUUAAUUUUCCAGAAGGUUGAACUGUUUAAGAAAAAUAGCGAUCUU